rnacentral:snRNA from 1 species
GUGCUUGCUUCAGCAGCACAUAUACUAAAAUUGGAACUAUGCAGAGAAGAUUAGCAUGGCCUUUGUGCAAAAAUGACCUGCAAAUUCAUGAAGCCGUCCAUAUUUCU